UCUAGUCUGCAACUGUGAAGAGACAUGAGAGGUGUAGGAUAAGUGGGAGGCCCCCGUGCUCGCCACAAAAGGGCGCCGCCGGUGAAAUACCACUACUCUUAUCAUUUUUUUAAUAAGGAAGCCAGAUGCCCAGGUGACACUGCCAGGUAAAAA
rnacentral:ncRNA from 1 species